rnacentral:rRNA from 1 species
AAACAUAGCCUGAAGAAUUUAUUUUAGGUGAAGCCUGCCCAGUGCUAGUGAGUAAACGGCCGCAGUACCUUGACUGUGCUAAGGUAGCAUAAUCAGUUGGCUUUUAAAUGGAGUCGGGAAUGAAUGGAUGAAUGGGGUGAAGCUGUCUCUCUUGUAGUUAGUUGAAUUUACUUAUUAGGUGAAAAUGCCUAAAAUUAGAAAAAAGACGAGAAGACCCUAGGAGUUUUGACCAUCUAUUAUUUGAAAUAAUAAACGUUUUUGUUGGGGCGACAUGGAAAGAAUUUUUAAACCUUCCUUUUUUUAUAUGCCGACUUAGUAUGAAUAAUUAAACUACCCUAGGGAUAACAGCGUAAUUCUUUUAGAGCUUGCGACCUCGAUGUUGGACUAGGAAUUUGGUAGGUUAGCCGCCUAUUUAUAUUGUUCUGUUCGAACUAUUUUUCCU